rnacentral:rRNA from 1 species
CAGCCGCCGCGGUAAAACGAAGGGGGCUAGCGUUGUUCGGAAUUACUGGGCGUAAAGGGCGCGUAGGCGGCCAUUCAAGUUAGAUGUGAAAGCCCUGGGCUCAACCUAGGAAUUGCAUUUGAUACUGUUUGGCUUGAGUUCGGGAGAGGUGAGUGGAAUUCCCAGUGUAGAGGUGAAAUUCGUAGAUAUUCGGAAGAACACCAGUGGCGAAGGCGACUACCUGGUCUGGCAUUGACGCUCAUGUACGAAAGCGUGGGGAGCAAACAGGAUUAGAUACCCCCGUAGUCCCUGUCUCUUAUAC